UAUUGCACAAUGGGGGAAACCCUGAUGCAGCCAUGCCGCGUGUGUGAAGAAGGCCUUCGGGUUGUAAAGCACUUUCAGUAGGGAGGAAGGUAGUGUAGUUAACACCUGCAUUAUUUGACGUUACCUACAGAAGAAGCACCGGCUAACUCCGUGCCAGCAGCCGCGGUAAUACGGAGGGUGCGAGCGUUAAUCGGAAUUACUGGGCGUAAAGCGCAUGCAGGCGGCCUGUUAAGUCAGAUGUGAAAGCCCCGGGGCUUAACCUCGGAAUUGCAUUUGAAACUGGCAGGCUAGAGUCUUGUAGAGGGGGUAGAAUUUCAGGUGUAGCGGUGAAAUGCGUAGAGAUCUGAAGGAAUACCAGUGGCGAAGGCGGCCCCCUGGACAAAGACUGACGCUCAGAUGCGAAAGCGUGGGGAGCCAAACAGGAUUAGAUACCCCUGGUAG
rnacentral:rRNA from 1 species